CCUACGGGAGGCAGCAGUGGGGAAUAUUGCACACUGGGGGAAACCCUGAUGCAGCGACGCCGCGUGAGUGAAGAAGUAAUUCGUUAUGUAAAGCUCUAUCAGCAGGGAAGAAAAUGACGGUACCUGAGUAAGAAGCCCCGGCUAACUACGUGACAGCAGCCGCGGUAAUACGUAGGGGGCAAGCGUUAUCCGGAUUUACUGGGUGGAAAGGGAGCGUAGACGGCAGUGCAAGUCUGGAGUGAAAGGCGGGGGCUCAACCCCCGGACUGCUCUGGAGACGGUACGGCUGGAGUGCAGGAGAGGUAAGUGGAAUUCCUAGUGUAGCGGUGAAAUGCGUAGAUAUUAGGAGGAACACCAGUGGCGAAGGCGGCUUACUGGACUGUAACUGACGUUGAGGCUCGAAAGCGUGGGGAGCAAACAGGAUUAGAUACCCUAGUAGUC
rnacentral:rRNA from 1 species